GAAAUGCGAUACUUGGUGUGAAUUGCAGAAUCCCGUGAACCAUCGAGUCUUUGAACGCAAGUUGCGCCCCAAGCCUUCUGGCCGAGGGCACGUCUGCCUGGGUGUCACAAAUCGUCGUCCCCCCAUCCUCUCGAGGAUACGGGACGGAAGUUGGUCUCCCGUGUGUUACCGCAUGCGGUUGGCCAAAAUCUGAGCAAAGGACGCCAGGAGCGUCUCGACAUGCGGUGGUGAAUUCAAUUCUCGUCAGAUUGUCAGCCGCUCCUGUCCGGAAGCUCUCGAUGACCCAAAGUCCUCAACGCGACCCCAGGUCAGGCGGGAUCACCCGCUGAGUUUAA
rnacentral:misc_RNA from 1 species